rnacentral:rRNA from 1 species
GCGACCCCAGGAUGGGCGAGGCCACCCGCUGAGUUUAAGCAU